ensembl:lncRNA
GCCUUUACAUAGAUACUUCAUUUGGACCACGAUAGAUCGGGCUGAAUCCGUCUUUAAGAAUAAUACCCAUUUGUAAUCUUAGAAUGGUAUGCCGAUGCUAUAUUUUUUAAUGCCGCACUUUCAAUACAAUUCUACUGCUUCUCCGUGAUGAAUACGGCACCACAAUAAGAUCAAACCUAUGAUUUGGCAAUGCAAUCUUUACACUCAAGUUGGUUCAAUUAAAACUAUAAAUAAAAAAUAAAUGAGCUUGAAUAUUACCUGAAGAUAGACGUCAAUGAGGCUCUCUCUAAUCAAGACUCUCAUUAUUGAAUAUUUGGUCAGUGUGGCCUCUGGAUCUGAAUAUGAAAGUUUAAUAUCCGGUAGGCUACACUUCAUUUAGCGAACGGAAUAUCAGUGUCCUACUUUACAUUUUUAAUGAAUAGCUAGAUAGCACUGUGCAUCAGUUUGCAAAGUAGUGUGUGCAAUAAGUCUCCACUUUCUGAACUUUGAAUAGGCGUUCCUUUAUUAAUACAUUCCUUCGAGGAAAAAAGCAUUGGAAGAUUUUAAUCAUUAAAUUGGAAAGCCGAAUUGAAUGUGUGUUAUCAAUCUAUCCGGCAUUCUAUCAGGCAAUACAUGCAUAUAUCAAAUGUGUGCCACAUAUUGGGUGUAAAUUAAACACAUGCAAAACAAUGCUAUUCUGAUGUAACAAGUACCAAUACGUAACACAAGUGCUGGGUCAGCAAGGGAUUACUAUAUUUGUUCUAAUGUCUUUACGCAGUGGAAUCCAAAAAGCUCCCCUCUGACUUCACUGGAGACGUAGAAACGCAAUGUUCAAGACUAUUUUAAAAGUGCUGAAUGUACUAGAUGUGGAGCCUUACUAAAUACUAUAAGCAAAAAGGUGACCAAUUGUGCGCUAAUUCAAAGUGGGCAUCAAAAAGACAAGCUAAUAAACUUAUUAAUUAAAAAUUGAAUUCUAGCUCCCACAGGAUAUAAAGUAGGCCUACAUUAUAAAUGGAAUUUCCAUAUAACAAUGAUGAAACGGACAAGUGACACGGAACAGAAUUAAACGUGUGUUAUUAAGUGUUUGAUUAUAUAUCUUUGUAUGAGUGUGUGUGUGUGUGUGUGUGUGUGUGUGUGUGUGUGUGUGUGUGUGUGUGUGUGUGUGUGUGUGUGUGUGUGUGUGUGUGUGUGUGUGUGUGUGCGUGCGUGCGUGCGUGUGUCUAUGUAUGCUUUGAAAACUUUAAUGAUUUUGUCAUUCAGUCAAUGAAUCAGAGGGUCAGUCUUCUAUGUCCUUGGUUUAAUCAGUUUUCACUGUUUUUGUUUUUCACAGUAUCCCUGGAACUUCGGUGUUGCUUCUUCAUCUUCAUUCUGCGAUUCUGGAACCAGAUUUUGAACUGCCUGUCUGUUAGGUCAAGGUUUUGGCUGAUCUCUAGGCGGCGCUGUUUCGAUAAAUACAUGUUGUAAGGGAACUCCUUCUCCAGCUCCAGAGUUUGGUGCUUAGUGUAAGGGCUGCGUUUCCUGCUAUCGGCUUUAGCAGACAGCCAGCCAACCGUUGUUUCCCUCAGUCAGGCCAGGUGGCUUCUUGUAACC